GCUCGUUUGUAUUUUAUGUAUUAAAAUAUGUAUAAUAAAAAUAUUUUAUAUUCAAAUGAAAUAUUCGUUUUAUAUUAAAUCAAUAGGAUUGUUUUUAGAUUCUGAAUUUAACUAAGAAUGUAUUGGUUUUACAAAGAUGUUUAUUUUUUUUUUAACACUUUUUUUACCAGAAAGCAUAUUCCAAUUAUCAAGUGCAGCAUCUUUUCUGAAAGGAAAUGAUCUCUGGGUGGUACUUAAGAGAGGUAAUUUUUUUGAAAUAUUCUCAUUAAUAUUCGAGAUAAUGAGAAAAACCUGGUUCUUUAGGAUAAAAAAUAAUGGAAGAUUACAAAUAAC